rnacentral:sRNA from 1 species
AAAAAAAAUGAAAAAAAUAAAGAGAAAG